rnacentral:rRNA from 1 species
UACGUAGGUGGCAAGCGUUGUCCGGAUUUACUGGGUGUAGAGGGCGUGCAGCCGGAGAGACAAGUCAGUUGUGAAAUCCACGGGCUCAACCCGUGAACUGCAUUUGAAACUGUUUCCCUUGAGUGUCGGAGAGGUAAUCGGAAUUCCUUGUGUAGCGGUGAAAUGCGUAGAUAUAAGGAAGAACACCAGUGGCGAAGGCGGAUUACUGGACGAUAACUGACGGUGAGGCGCGAAAGCGUGGGGAGCAAACAGG